rnacentral:rRNA from 1 species
UACAGAGGUCCCAAGCGUUGUUCGGAUUCACUGGGCGUAAAGGGUGCGUAGGUGGUCGGGUAAGUCUGAAGUGAAAUCUUCGAGCUCAACUCGAAAAUGGCAUUGGAUACUAUUCGGCUGGAGGGUUGGAAGGGGGACUGGAAUUCUCGGUGUAGCAGUGAAAUGCGUAGAUAUCGAGAGGAACACCGGUGGCGAAGGCGAGUCCCUGGACAAUUCCUGACACUGAGGCACGAAAGCUAGGGGAGCAAACAGG